UAGCAACGAUUUUAAGAUUGUGGCAAUAUGUAUCUAUUGCAAUAAUUUUAACAUUGAUGCUA
rnacentral:pre_miRNA from 1 species